UUAAAACAGCGUUCGUUGAGCUCGAUGGAUUUGUUGGGAAGAUAACUUUUAAAAUACCUUUCCAAUGGAAAUUAAGUGGAAGCGAAAAUUCAAUGUCUUCUCGCGAUAAAAAUCAAUUUUGAUAUAAAUGUUAAAGUGUCGAAACGAUAGUUUAAUUAAACUAUGUUUAUCAAACAACACUAGAGCAAUAAUUUGUUCUAUCUAUUGUGUCUUGGUAAGAGUAUGUUUGUUGUUCUCCAACAUUUUUAUACUUGCACCCGUCUCGAACGAGGAAAUAACUGUUCUAAUUGGAAACUUAAAAAGCUAUUUUAUCUUUCAGCAUUAAAGAUUUAUAUCGUGCGCUUAUGUAUCGUCGAUAAUUCUUCAAAAUCAAUUUUCUCGAUAAGGAACCUUAUAACAGGCAAGAUUGAUACUACUACGUGAAGUAUAAUAAGAAAAUCCCGUUCACGAUUAUUCCAUUAUUACCUCCCCUUCGUUUAUAUCGGUUAUAAGUAGUUGUAGCUUCAAUAUCGACGCUAAUAUGUAUCGAUUUUACAGAUAUUGUAAAUUGUUAGGAAUAUCGUAUACCUCCUUAAUCAUCAAAAGAAAGUAAAAAUUAAAUUCUAAGAUCAUUAUACAGGUGAAAAUAAUUCUUGAUUUUAUAGCGUAUCGAAUAAUAUUUCUGUAUUUAAAUUUUAAAUAAUGAAUUGAUUAGUUGCACAACUGUGACUAAUCAUCCUUGAAUAAACCGUGUAUUCAAUUUAUUUCCACCAAAGGCUGGUGUUUCAGAUAUUCCAUAGACCGUGCUAUCGUUUUUGGAAUUUAUCGAUCGAAUAGCUUUCAUAAAGUCAAAGAAUUUAUCAAUCCAUUCGAUUCGAGAGUCAGUUUUGAACUCUGGCCAGUGGCUCGACUAGAAGCAGGCAACCAUUUCGACAAUUGCAACGAGGUACAGAAUUCGAAAUAAACUUGCGCGUAUCAGUCUCUAAGAAAUAAAGCAAUUGUCGUAAACAAAUUCUGAUAUAUUACUCGGGAGGAUUAGUUUAAUCGCACAUACAAAAUUGGAAAAAUCAGUCCAGUAUAAAACCGCAUAAUAACAUGCAUAACGUGUUACUGAAAGCUUAUUUUACGCUUGGUAUCGCAUGAACGAUCUAUCUUGGCAAACUAAAUAAUUUCUAACUGGAUAACGGAUAUCCAUAAUAUGCAUAAAGAUUGCCCGAGUAAACCUCGUAUUUUAUGCAGUGCAGCUAGAAAAGUUUGCGACCGUUUAUUCGAUGAGAGGAAAACUUGGAUUUUUUAACGGAAAAAAUAUGAAUAAGCGAUGCUUCCAACAAGAGAAAGUUCAGUCCUUAGAAGAGAAAAUGCUGCUUUUAUAUGUUCCUUUUUCAAGCGUGUAAAAGGAGAUAAAUAUUGUUUGAGAAGAAAGCAGAAUGUUUUACUCCAACAAAAUAAAGAUAUCAUAAAUUAUUAUAACAUUAUAAAGAACAUUUGCGUCGCUCCUCCUCCUAAUCUGAAAUUAUUUCGUUUUUACCUUCCAAUCGAAUAGUUUGAACGUGAAUACAAUUUGUAUUCUACACUCAUACGAACUACACCCACACAGACUAAAUUUAAUUAUAUAGUUCUAAGGACCACUAUUCAAAUACGCAAGCAAAUUAAUAUGAGGUGGAAUAUUGGAAUAAGAUGGAAACACGAAAACUUGAACUUGAAUUUAUUGCGAUAAAAUAACGUCGCACAAGCGAGACGAAAAUUGUAGAAAUUACAUUUCGUUGGAAUAGCAUAAAACUUUCGAGAUGAAUAUUCUCGAUGUAAUUAAUUAACGAAGAAAUAAAUUAAACAGUUGACACACGUUCGUGAACUUGGCAAGUGUCAUAGUCUGACGUUUAAUAUUUGAUGGAACGCUACAGAAGGAAAAAACCAAAGAAUCAGCGAGAAUUUUUCAAUUCUAAUUCAUAGCCGAAACGAGGAAAUUAAUUAAUCGGCGCGCGCGUGAUGUGUGAAAUAGUGGACAGAUGCGUCGUAAUUAAACAGGUUUGUCGUGUCAUCAAAAAUUAAUUUGGUUUGUUACUAAUUAAAGAACAUAUCAUUUGAACGUAGAUUUCAUUAUGCACGAUGCUGUUCUGUUAUUUACGAAAGAUUGAUCACAUAAAUGAUAUUUUGUGGAAAAUUUAAAAUGAAUGGUUAGCUAAAAUUCCGAAAAGUUUUACAUACCUAUGUAAUAUGAUAAUAUAUAUAAUGUAUAUAUAUCAUAAUAUGUAUGUACAGUUUUUUAUGGUAAGUUUUUAAAUAUUUUCGUGAGUCAGAAUAUAUUCUCACGCAUUGUAUCUAAAGAAUUUACUAAUUUGUAUGCUAUAUGAUAUGUUCUAGCAUCUUCCAAGAAUUCGUCGGUUCGAAUACGUUCGACUUCCCGCGAAGCUAAACAUCCCCACCCUAAUAAGAAUAUUAGACGAAACCACAGUGCGGGCAUUCGAUUGUCGAAAAUCGUGGCAUCAAGAUGUAUCGAUCGACACUUGAGAUCAUUAACUGUGUAAUACAUUUCCAAUGCUAUUCUUCUACGUUUAUAUGCUACUAUUAGAUUAUUGGUUAAUAGAGAGAUCGACAUGAAAAAAACAGGAAAUCAAAAUGUAGAGGCUGUGAUAAUUAACGUUUAAUUUGGCGGAAGCAGUCUUCUCGUGUUCAUAUUGCUCUCCGAAUUACUGGUUUUUUACAACCCCCACCUUUUCCCGUUCUUUGGAGAGGAUCUAAUCUGUAAUUAAAUGAGUGCUUCAAAAGCCAAGAAUAUUUCUCACAAUCUCUACUUUCACCAUGAGGGACGACGGUUUUUACUUGAUAACCGCUUUUCAGAUGACUUCUCGCACAUCACACCAUCGAUAACAACGAUCUUCGCGUCUAA